AGAGUUUGAUUAUGGCUCAGGAUGAACGCUGGCGGCGUGCUUAACACAUGCAAGUCGAACGGAGUGCCCAUGACAGAGGAUUCGUCCAAUGGAAUGGGUUACUUAGUGGCGGACGGGUGAGUAACGCGUGAGGAACCUGCCCUGGAGUGGGGAAUAACAGUUAGAAAUGACUGCUAAUACCGCAUGAUGCAGUUGAGUCGCAUGGCUCUGACUGCCAAAGAUUUAUCGCUCUGGGAUGGACUCGCGUCUGAUUAGCUAGUAGGCGGGGUAACGGCCCACCUAGGCGACGAUCAGUAGCCGGACUGAGAGGUUGGCCGGCCACAUUGGGACUGAGACACGGCCCAG
rnacentral:rRNA from 1 species